AGAGAGAGAGAGAGAGAGAGAGAGAGAGAGAGAGAGAGAGAGAGAGAGAGAGAGAGAGAGAGAGAGAGAGAGAGAGAGAGAGAGAGAGAGAGAGAGAGCUUUACCAAAUAAUGUUGUUAAUUAAUUGUGUUUUGUAAUGUUGAAAUGUUGACACACACACACACACACACACACACACACACACACACACACACACACACACACACACACACACACACACACAGACAGACAGACAGAAACACACACA